rnacentral:rRNA from 1 species
AGUGAACGCUGGCGGUAGGCCUAACACAUGCAAGUCGAACGGCAGCACAGUAAGAGCUUGCUCUUACGGGUGGCGAGUGGCGGACGGGUGAGGAAUACAUCGGAAUCUACUUUUUCGUGGGGGACAACGUGGGGAAACUUACGCUAAUACCUCAUACGACCUACGGGUGAAAGCAGGUGUUCUUCGUACCUUGCGCGAUUGAAUGAGCCGAUGUCGGUUUAGUUAGUUGGCGGGGUAAAGGCCCACCAAGGCGACGAUCCGUAGCUGGUCUGAGAGGAUGAUCAGCAAAACUGGAACUGAGAAACGGUCCAGACUCCUACGGGAGGAACCAGUGGGGAAUAUUGGACAAUGGGCGCAAGCCUGAUCCAGCCAUACCGCGUGGUUGAAGAAGGCCUUCGGGUUGUAAAGCCCUUUUGUUGGGAAAGAAAAGCAGCAGGUUAAUAACCCGCUGUUCUGACGGUACCCAAAGAAUAAGCAACGGCUAACUUCGUG